GUGGGGAAUUUUGGACAAUGGGGGCAACCCUGAUCCAGCCAUUCCGCGUGAGUGAAGAAGGCCUUCGGGUUGUAAAGCUCUUUCGGCAGGAACGAAACGGUGAGCUCUAACAUAGCUCGCUAAUGACGGUACCUGAAGAAGAAGCACCGGCUAACUACGUGCCAGCAGCCGCGGUAAGACGUAGGGUGCGAGCGUUAAUCGGAAUUACUGGGCGGAAAGCGUGCGCAGUCGGUUGUGUAAGACAGGUGUGAAAUCCCCGGGAUUGACCUGGGAACUGCGCUUGUGACUGCACGGCUAGAGUAUGGCAGAGGGGGGUGGAAUUCCACGUGUAGCAGUGAAAUGCGUAGAGAUCGGGAGGAACACCAGUGGCGAAGGCGACUUACUGGACUGUAACUGUCGCUGAGGCGCGAAAGUGUGGGGAGCAAACAGGAUUAGAUACCCUAGUAGUCC
rnacentral:rRNA from 1 species